rnacentral:rRNA from 1 species
GAUGAACGCUGGCGGCGUGUCUAACACAUGCAAGUCGAGCGAUUCUCUUCGGAGAAGAGCGGCGGACGGGUGAGUAACGCGUGGGUAUCCUGCCCUGUACACACGGAUAACAUACCGAAAGGUAUGCUAAUACGAGAUAAUAUGCUUUUAUCGCAUGGUAGAAGUAUCAAAGCUUUUGCGGUACAGGAUGGACCCGCGUCUGAUUAGCUAGUUGGUAAGGUAACGGCUUACCAAGGCGACGAUCAGUAGCCGACCUGAGAGGGUGAUCGGCCACAUUGGAACUGAGACACGGUCCAAACUCCUACGGGAGGCAGCAGUGGGGAAUAUUGCACAAUGGGCGAAAGCCUGAUGCAGCAACGCCGCGUGAGCGAUGAAGGCCUUCGGGUCGUAAAGCUCUGUCCUCAAGGAAGAUAAUGACGGUACUUGAGGAGGAAGCCCCGGCUAACUACGUGCCAGCCGCCGCCGUAA